rnacentral:misc_RNA from 1 species
GGAAGGAUCAUUACCGUGCCUGCGGUCUGUUGGCGGCCUCUCCGGGGGUUUGUUAGCGCCGCAUUUGGCCCAACCGUGUCUAUCUGUACCUGUUGCUUCGGCGAGCCUGCGAGUGCUCGCUGCCGGAGGCCUAGAGCCUCGGGCUUGUGCUCGCCGAAGACACCUGAAACUCCUGUUAAUAUUAGCGGUCUGAAUGGGUUUUAUAAAUUGUUAAAACUUUCAACAACGGAUCUCUUGGUUCCGGCAUCGAUGAAGAACGCAGCGAAAUGCGAUAAGUAAUGUGAAUUGCAGAAUUCCGUGAAUCAUCGAAUCUUUGAACGCACAUUGCGCUCCCUGGUAUUCCGGGGAGCAUGCCUGUCCGAGCGUCAUUGCAACCCCUUCAAGCCCGGCUUGUGUGUUGGGCGUCGUCCCCGCUGGACGCGCUCGAAAGGCAGUGGCGGUUCCGUGCUUCGGUGCCCGAGCGUAUGGGGCUUUGUCACCCGCUCUGGAGGCCCGACCGGCGACCAGCCCGCUAGAGGCUUAACUGGACUCCGGUUAAGGCUUUAACUAAACUUUUCGUGGUUGACCUCGGAUCAGGUAGGGAUACCCGCUGAACUUAAGCAUAUCAAUAAGCGGAGGAAAAGAAACCAACAGGGAUUGCCCCAGUAACGGCGAGUGAAGCGGCAAGAGCUCAAAUUUGAAAUCUGGCGCCCUCUGGGUGCCCGAGUUGUAAUUUGCAGAGGAUGCUUCGGGGGUGGUCGCCGCCUAAGUCCCCUGGAACGGGGCGUCAUAGAGGGUGAGAAUCCCGUCUUUGGUGGGCCGGCUGCUCCCGGGUGAAGCUCCUUCGACGAGUCGAGUUGUUUGGGAAUGCAGCUCUAAGUGGGUGGUAAAUUUCAUCUAAAGCUAAAUAUUGGCUGGAGACCGAUAGCGCACAAGUAGAGUGAUCGAAAGACGAAAAGUACUUUGAAAAGAGAGUUAAACAGCACGUGAAAUUGUUGAAAGGGAAGCGCUGGCCGCCAGAUUCGGUCUCUAGGGCUCAGCGGGCAUGCUCUGCCUGUGCACUCCCUGGAGAUUGGGUCAGCAUCGGUUUGGGCGGUCGGUCAAAGGCCUCCGGAAUGUGUCGCCCUUCGGGGCGUCUUAUAGCCGGAGGUGCAAUGCGGCCUGCCUGGAUCGAGGAACGCGCUUCGGCACGGAUGCUGGCAUAAUGGCGGUCAGCGGCCCGUCUUGAAACACGGACCAAGGAGUCUAACAUCCACGCGAGUGUUCGGGUGUCAAACCCGUCCGCGCAGUGAAAGCGAACGGAGGUGGGAGCCUGUUUUAGGGUGCACCAUCGACCGAUCCUGAAGUCUUCGGAUGGAUUUGAGUAAGAGCGUGGCUGUGGGGACCCGAAAGAUGGUGAACUAUGCCUGAAUAGGGUGAAGCCAGAGGAAACUCUGGUGGAGGCUCGCAGCGGUUCUGACGUGCAAAUCGAUCGUCAAAUUUGGGCAUAGGGGCGAAAGACUAAUCGAACCAUCUGGUAGCUGGUUCCUGC